GAUCUGGUAGCUCAGUUGGUAGAGCACGACACUUUUAAUGUUGGGGUCCUGGGUUCGAGCCCCAGCCGGAUCAC
rnacentral:tRNA from 1 species